rnacentral:rRNA from 1 species
UACGAAAGGGGCAAGCGUUGUUCGGAAUUACUGGGCGUAAAGGGCGCGUAGGCGGCUUAUCAAGUCAGGCGUGAAAUUCCCGGGCUCAACCUGGGGGCUGCGCUUGAUACUGAUUGGCUUGAAUGCGGGAGAGGAUAGUGGAAUUCCCAGUGUAGAGGUGAAAUUCGUAGAUAUUGGGAAGAACACCGGUGGCGAAGGCGGCUAUCUGGCCCGUAAUUGACGCUGAGGCGCGAAAGCGUGGGGAGCAAACAGG